rnacentral:rRNA from 1 species
UAAGCAUAUCAAUAAGCGGAGGAAAAGAAACCAACAGGGAUUGCCCCAGUAACGGCGAGUGAAGCGGCAAGAGCUCAAAUUUGAAAUCUGGCCUCCCCCGGGGGCCCGAGUUGUAAUUUGCAGAGGAUGCUUCGGGUGCGGCCGCCGUCUAAGUUCCUUGGAACAGGACGUCAGAGAGGGUGAGAAUCCCGUCUUGGGCGGGCGGUCCGCGCCCGUGUGAAGCUCCUUCGACGAGUCGAGUUGUUUGGGAAUGCAGCUCUAAGCGGGUGGUAAAUUUCAUCUAAAGCUAAAUAUUGGCCGGAGACCGAUAGCGCACAAGUAGAGUGAUCGAAAGGUUAAAAGCACCUUGAAAAGGGAGUUAAACAGCACGUGAAAUUGUUGAAAGGGAAGCGCUUGCGGCCAGACUCGGGGGCGGGGUUCAGCGGGUGCUCGUCGCCCGUGUAUUCCUCGUCUCCCGGGCCAGCAUCAGUUUCGACGGCCGGUCAAAGGCCCCCGGAAUGUGUCGUCUCUCGGGACGUCUUAUAGCCGGGGGUGCAAUGCGGCCCGUCGGGACUGAGGAACGCGCUCCGGCUCGGAUGCUGGCGUAAUGGCCGUAAGCGGCCCGUCUUGAAACACGGACCAAGGAGUCUAACAUCCACGCGAGUGUUCGGGUGUCAAACCCGUGCGCGCAGUGAAAGCGAACGGAGGUGGGAGCCUUAGGGCGCACCAUCGACCGAUCCUGAAGUCUUCGGAUGGAUUUGAGUAGGAGCGUGGCCGUUGGGACCCGAAAGAUGGUGAACUAUGCCUGAAUAGGGUGAAGCCAGAGGAAACUCUGGUGGAGGCUCGCAGCGGUUCUGACGUGCAAAUCGAUCGUCAAAUUUGGGCAUAGGGGCGAAAGACUAAUCGAACCAUCUAGUAGCUGGUUCCUGCCGA